rnacentral:lncRNA from 1 species
AGGGCCGCAUAUGGAGGUUUCCAGGCUAGGGAUUGAAUCAGAGCUGUAACUGCCAGCCUACGUCACAGCCACAGCAAUGCCAGAUCCUUAACCAAGCAAGUGAGGCCAGGGAUCGAACCUGUGUCCUCAUGGAUGCUAGUCAGGUUCAUUAACUGCUGAGCCAUGACAGGAGCUCCUAUUUUCCUUCUUGCUUCUUCCCCAACUCCUAGCUAUGCCACGGAGAGGGCCCCGAAUACCCCCUGUAAACCAGGACAGGAGACAAUGCCCACAAUACUGGUCCUGCUGUUCCUGAACUUGCAUCUGAGUAUAUACCAUGGACACUAGCCCCUCACAGGCUUCAUUGGAGUUUCUUUAAAAGAAGUGGGUUUAGGAGUUCCCAUUGUGGCUCAGUGGUUAACAAAUUUGACUAGGAACCAUGAGGUUUCAGGUUCGAUCCCUGGCCUCGCUCAGUGGGUUAAGGAUCCGGCGUUGUCAUGAGCUGUGGUGUAGGUCACAGAUGUGGCUCGGAUCAUGUGUUGCUGUGGCUGUGGUGUAGGCUGGCAUCCACAGCAACGCCAGAUCUGAGCCACAUCUGUGACCUAUACCAUAGCUCACAGCAAUGUCGGAUUCUUAACCCACUGAGCGACACCAGGAUCAAAACUGCAACUUCAUGGUUCCUAGUGGGAUUUGUUAACCACUGAGCCAUGGUGGGAACUCCUAAGCUGGGGGCAUUUUUAAGAACCAUGUUUUGAAUUGUUGGAAAUAUAGUUCAAAUAUUAUGAAAAUGAGGAAACCAAAGAGGUGCUGAACUCUUGGGAGGGGGAAGCUGUGGAUCUGGCUGGGCCUCUAAUGAGGCUGGGCCACCAGCUGUGCAGCAACUCCCCUCAUCUGCACCCCACCUACUCUCCACCAACCAAGCAGAGAGAGACAACCAAAUAGAGUAAAACAUGGAAUACUUGCAAGUGUCAACAUGACUGGUGCUUCCAAGCCCCACAGGAGCCUAUCUCCUGUGGCCACACAGGAGGGAGACUUCUAACCAACUGUACAGGGUACACUAAGUCUAUGUAUACAAGCCAUCAUGGACCCUAUUUUCUACUAACCCACUGGAGGAUCACACACAAGUGGCAGUGCUUGAUAGCUCCCCAAACCUCUGCAGUCUGGAGUUCCCGUGUGGUUCAGUGGGUUAAGAACCCAACAUGGAAGCUGUGAAGAUGCUGUUUCCAUCCCUGGCCUCACUUGGUGGGUUAAGGAUCCAGCUUUGCUGCAUGCUGUGGCAUAGGUUGCAGAUACAGCUCUGAUCCGGUAUUGCAGUGGCUGUAGUAUAGGCUGGAACCUGCAGCUCCAAUUAGACCCCUGGCCCGGGCACAUCCACAUGCCGCAGGUGUGGCUGUAAAACCAAAACCUCUCCAGUUCCUGCUUUGUAUGGAUGGGUUAAAGAUGAAAAAGACCAGCCUUGUAAAAUAAUUGAAUGAAUGUCACAGUUAACCUCAUAUCAUCAUUUUAAGUUGUUUUAUGCUCAUUGAUUAUUCUCUGAAAUAGGCCUUCCUGUGGAUAUGCCGCUCACUGUUAAACCAACUGUUAAAAUACAUCAAAUAUUAAGAUCCAACAGAUAGAAGCACAUGAAUAUAAACCAAGAACAGCCCACGAGGGAAUGCAAAUAUUCCCACAGAGCAAAUGAAUACCUGGAGACUUUUUUUCCCCAAUGGGAAGCAAUGAAAAUCUCUCUCUUAAUUAUGUGCUAAAACAGUAACUCACAACUCUCUCUUGCUGCAAAUACAUAGCAGGCAGAUUCUCUUUGAUAAGGAUGCCCAUGGACCCUAAGUACUACCUGUUAUCAUGUGUUGAGUGCCUACUCUGUGUCAGGACCUUGGCCAAAUGGUUUUUAAUACAUUACUUCUUAUCUUCCCACUAAUUUUGCAAGAUAUGUAUUUAUAUUUCCAUUUUACUGAUGAGAAAACUGAGCCUCAGAGAGGUUAAACAAUUUUCCCAAGGCCACAAAACUGGCAAGUUUUUUAGUUGGAAUUUGGACAGUUCUACAUGGUGCCAUAGCCCAGUCUGUAUUUUCAGGAUUCACAUGUGGUCCGGGCACCAGCACUGUCAGCAUCUGAGAGCUUUUAGAGAUUUUAUUAUUUUAUUUUAUUGCUUUUUAGGGCCACACCUACAUUCCCAGGCUAGGGGUCGAAUCGGACCAGAGCCACAGCCACGCGGGAUCUGAGCCGCGUCUUCGACCUGCAGCACAGCUCACGGCAACACCGGAUCCUUCACCCACUGAGCAAGGCCAGGGAUUGAACCCGCAACCUCAUGGUUCCUAGUCGGAUUCAUUAACCACUGAGCCACGACGGGAACUUGAGAGCUUUUAGAAAUGAGAAUCUUGGGUCCCACUUAGACCUACUGGAUCAGAAUCUGUAGUUCAAAGAGAUCACCAUUAAUCUGCAUGCCCAUUAAAGUUAGAGAAGCAAUGUUCUAUAUCCAGAACUAAUCUGUUCCAUAGAAUGGGGUUGGGCAGUCGGAUAGAUAUGCUGAUGCUCAGUGUUGAAAUUAUUUGCUAGGCUUGAUGGGAAGGUGGCUCUGCUGAUCUUCAAUUUUUUAAUUCAAGCUUUCAGAAAAGAAUCUAUUUUUCCUCUGUGCUCAGGGUCACAUACUUAUUAUAUAAAUUUAUGUUGAAGUUCUGUGAUGGAAAUUUCCACGGACAUGAGCAAAUCCCUUUAGAGAGAUGGCUCUGAUAUUUUCCUUACCUGUUACUCUGAUGGAUUAUCUAGAAGCUUGCAAAAGGGAGUUCCUGUUAUGGCUCAGUGGGUUAAGAACCCAACCGGUAUCCGUGAGGAUGCGGGUUGGAUCCCUUGCCUCACUCAGUGGGUUAAGGAUCUGGUAUUGCCACAAGCUGCUGUGCAGGUCGUGGAUGUGGCUCAGAUCUGGCGUUGCUGUAGCUGUGGCAGGGGCCUGCAACUGCAGCUCCAAUUCGACCCCCAGCCUGGGAACUUUCAUAUGCCAUGGGUGCAGCCAUAAAAAAAAAAAAAAAAAGAAAAGCUUGCAAAUGGAAUAAGCUACUCUUGAAACAUUUGGUUGACAAAGAUAAAGCAUAACUCCAAAAAUCAUUUCACCACCAUUCUUCCAAUCCCAAACCUGUGAGAGUAUUGACUUUUUCAAAGAGGAGCUUGGAAAUCAAAUGAAUCUAUAGUAGGUAGAUUAUCUUCUGGCACACAUAUUUCUUCAGGGAGGGAAGAUGGACAGCUACUCCUUGGGUCCUUAGCUUUCUUCCAUUAACUCCAGUCUCUAUGUUUCAUCAGCCAUCAGAAUGACAGAAUGAGCACUUGACUCUUCUCCAUGGCAGCCUAGGAGAAGGUCCAUUUAGUUUGUUCCUGUGGAAUAAAGCGACCAGUAGAAGUGCUUUUCAUACAUAACCAAAACAGAUCAUGCCAACUUUGACAGAAAGAGCACAUUUCUAACUAAUACCUACCUAGAGUCCUCUGGGCUCUGGCUUCACUAAUCUUUCCAGCCUCACUUACCAGCAUUCCCUUUAUCUUCUCCUUUUCACCCAGGCUGUGCCAACCCCAGUGAACUCUCAUGCGCUCCCAACUCCAAGGCUUGGUCCUGCUUCUUCCUCCCUCUGAAAUAUCUUCUCGCCAUGUUUCCUCUUGCCACAAAUCUACUCAUUCUUUACAUGAAAUGUCAGCCAUAUCUUUCCUGAGGGAUGUUGGCUAGAAGUUGUGAACCCCAGAUGACAUCAUUUUCUUCCUACUGAGACACUUACCACUUUCUAUCCUGAAUACUAUUUGUCCGAGACUUUCUCUGCUUAUGCGGCUGACCAUAAACUCCCGGGAUCCUUGUCUAAGGAAAUGGCACAAAUGCCUAAUACAAUAUGUGCCACACCAGGACUCAAUAAAUGAUUCCUUUCCUCCUUCCUGGCUAAUAAAGUUAAACACAUUUCACGUGUUUAGCUGGCAUCUCUGUAUCUUCUUGUUUUCUGAUUGGAUUUUUUAAUUAUUGAUUUGAGAAUUCUGUGUACAUGUUAGAUCUUUUGUUAUUAUCUUACAGGUCCCUGAGGCUCUGCUCAUUAUUUUUUUCUAAUUUUCUUUCUGUUGUUCUGAUUGUAUCAUUUCUAUUGUUCUGUCUUUCAGCGCACUGCUUCAUUCCUUUCUCCCCUUCAUUCUGCUGUUAAGCCCAUCCACUGAGUUGUAAAUUUUGCUUAUCACAUCUUUCAGUUCUAAAAUUCCAAUUUGGCUUUGCUGAGACUUUUUUGUUUGUUUGUUUUUUAGAGAGUCCAAACAGUUCAUAUGAAAUAUAUUCAUCCCCAAAAGAGAGAAAGACAACUUAGAACAUGCAUUCUAUUGAGCUCUGUAUCAGUCUGCUUAGGUUGUCAUAAUGGAAUGUCACAGACUGGGGCAGGGGCUUCUUUAUUUCUCACAGUUCUGGGAGCUUGAAGUCCAAGAGCAAGGUGCCAGCAGGGUUGAGCUCUAGCGGGACUCUCUCCCUCCCUUGUAGAUGGCUACCUUCUUGCUGUGUCCUCAUAUGACCUUUCUUCUACAUGUGAUGAGUGAGAAAUCUCUGGUGAUACUAUUUUUCAUUUGUUUUAAGCGUGUCUGUAACUGCUUGUUGAAGUAUUUUUAUGAUGGCUGCUCCAACACCUUUGUAUGAUUAUUCCAACCCCUUGGUCAUCUUGGUAUUGGUAUCCAUCGAUUAACUUAUUAUUCAUUUGAGAUCAUCCUGGUUCUUGGUGUGCUGAGUGAUUUUCAUUUGAAACCUGGACAUUUUGUGUAUUGUGUUUCCCAUCUCCAAAUCUUUUUAAACUUUAUGUUUUAGCUGGCUUCCUCUGA